rnacentral:rRNA from 1 species
GAUGAACGCUGGCGGCGUGCUUAACACAUGCAAGUCGAACGGGAAUUACUUCAUUGAAACUUCGGUCGAUUUAAUUUAAUUCUAGUGGCGGACGGGUGAGUAACGCGUGGGUAACCUGCCUUAUACAGGGGGAUAACAGUCAGAAAUGGCUGCUAAUACCGCAUAAGCGCACAGAGCUGCACGGCUCAGUGUGAAAAACUCCGGUGGUAUAAGAUGGACCCGCGUUGGAUUAGCUAGUUGGUGGGGUAACGGCCCACCAAGGUGACGAUCCAUAGGCGGCCUGAGAGGGUGAACGGCCACAAUGGGACUGAGACACGGCCCAGACUCCUACGGGAGGCAGCAGUGGGGAAUAUUGCACAAUGGGGGAAACCCUGAUGCAGCGACGCCGCGUGAAGGAAGAAGUAUCUCGGUAUGUAAACUUCUAUCAGCAGGGAAGAUAAUGACGGUACCUGACUAAGAAGCCCCGGCUAACUACGUGCCAGCCGCCGCAGUAA